rnacentral:rRNA from 1 species
AUACAGAGGGUGCGAGCGUUAAUCGGAAUUACUGGGCGUAAAGCGCGCGUAGGCGGCUUGGUCAGUCGGAUGUGAAAGCCCCGGGCUUAAUCUGGGAACUGCAUUUGAAACUGAUAGACUAGAGUGAGUGAGAGGUUAGUGGAAUUCCAGGUGUAGCGGUGAAAUGCGUAGAGAUCUGGAGGAACAUCAGUGGCGAAGGCGACUAACUGGCACUACACUGACGCUGAGGUACGAAAGCGUGGGGAGCGAACAGGAUUAGAAACCCCAGUAGUCC